UACGGGGGGGACAAGCGUUGUUCGGAAUUACUGGGCGUAAAGGGCUCGUAGGCGGCCAACUAAGUCAGACGUGAAAUCCCUCGGCUUAACCGGGGAACUGCGUCUGAUACUGGAUGGCUUGAGAUUGGGAGAGGGAUGCGGAAUUCCAGGUGUAGCGGUGAAAUGCGUAGAUAUCUGGAGGAACACCGGUGGCGAAGGCGACAUCCUGGACCAACACUGACGCUGAGGAGCGAAAGCCAGGGGAGCAAACGGG
rnacentral:rRNA from 1 species